rnacentral:rRNA from 1 species
UACGUAGGGGGCAAGCGUUGUCCGGAUUUAUUGGGCGUAAAGAGCUCGUAGGCGGCUUGGCAAGUCGGAUGUGAAACCUCCAGGCUCAACCUGGAGACGCCACUCGAAACUGCCAUGGCUAGAGUCCGGUAGGGGAGCACGGAAUUCCUGGUGUAGCGGUGAAAUGCGCAGAUAUCAGGAGGAACACCAGUGGCGAAGGCGGUGCUCUGGGCCGGUACUGACGCUGAGGCGCGAAAGCGUGGGGAGCAAACAGG